rnacentral:rRNA from 1 species
AAUUUAUAAAACUUUUUUUAUAUAAAUUCAUUAAUUUAUGAAUAAUUGAUCCUUAAAUAAAGAUUAAAAGAUAAAAUUACCUUAGGGAUAACAGCGUAAUUUUUUUUAAGAGUUCUAAUCAAAAAAAAAGGUUGCGACCUCGAUGUUGGAUUAAAAAAAAGUAUUGGUGUAGAASCUAAUAGAUUUGGUCUGUUCGACCAUUAAAAUUUUACAUGAUCUGA